GGCCCCCUCCCAGCGCCGCCACGGUGGCCCUGAGGCCCCCACGCCCACCGCCGCUCAGCACCCCCGCCCCGAGGCCACCGGACACUUCUGGAGCCCAGGUUGGGGGCUGCACCUGUUCAGGAGGAGGCUGGAAACUUGGGCCUGCCCUCAGGCGGCGCUCAGUCAAGCCCAGCGUCAGUGCUGCGCAGCCCCGAGGGACAGGCGCGCCAGCCCCAGGGAACCGAGUUUUCUCCUGCGAGCCAGGACACGUCGGCGCCAGAAAGCCGAUUCGCCGAAACCCUCAGCACCGGGAGGCCACUGGAACGAUGGGGUAGAAAAGAUCGCGAUCUCCACUUAGCACGGGAAUUGACCACAUCGGGGAAACGUGUUUCACGACCGCGGGCCCGUCUCCUGGGUUGUCAAGUAAAAUGCGCUUCUGGUGCCAGGGAUUUUCAAGAUGGAAAGCCUCUGCGGAGAGGUUGGCAGUAAGCCUAGAACUGGAGGGAUAGAGCGCGGAAAGGGACAGGACUCCACAGGCGGAUUUGAAAGGGAGCAACAACUGAGCCAGAGGACAGCACUGCCAUCUGCCCGGUUGAGGUCUGCUGUUGUCACCACCUUACCCUAAACAAUUUGGUGGCAGAGGCCAGAGCAAAGGGCACUUCUGACAGCUUUGGGGACACCAAGAAACAGGCAUAAAACUCUGCAAACACUGAGUUUACUGUCUUUCUCACCAUUUCCAAGGGCCAUGGGUACCUCUGUGAAAAAGGAAGAGAGAUCCACAUCACCCAUAAUGCCUGAACUGAAAAGUAGGAAUACAAGCGUUUAUUUUUAUAGAGCUCGGACCUCGCAUUUGGUCUGCAGUCUUGUCCUUUAGCUCCAGUAAUGCAGGAAAACCCAGCCCUGGAUUAACGCAUCCCUGCAACUGGGUCUUGAGUAAAAUGGAGUGAAUCACACGCUCACUUGGUCAUUGUGCGGUCUGCAACCUCACUCUAUCAGUAACAUCUUGGAGGUCAGUCAUCGUCCUACUCACUUGAAUUAAUCCAGACCCAUACAACCUUUGCACCUUCAUUAUCAGCAUCCAACCCGACUCCUAUUUCAUAAGUACAUAGACAAAAUAAUGCAAACACCUGCCAUGCUCCAGCCACCCAGCCUGCAUACUCUUUCAUAUCCGCGCACAUUUUGGUGUCUCUCUUCCUGUGCUCUUGGUUCCAUCGCUCCUCCUCUGGGAUCUUGUGCUAUCCGUUAUUUCCUCUCGCUGACUCUACAAGAUGCUUUCUUCUCUGCCUAUUAACACACUCAAUUUUAACAUACUAUAUUCAGCCCCUCCAUGACUUGUCAUCCUCCUUAAAGCUACCAGACUUUUUUUUUUUUUUUUUUUGGUCCCUCUCUUUCACCCAAGAUUCUUGGAAGAGCAUUCUCCAUUCCCUACUAUGUUUCUUGUUGCCUCUUCAUUUCUUACCUUCAGUAAAACUUCUGCCCCCUCCAGUCUACUGAAACUGUUCUUGCCAGUUACCAGUGAUCCACCAACUGUCCAAGUCGGCACUUCAGUGAUCUACUGUGGCUCCUGGAUGCACUGUGUCAUACUGUGUAUGACACGUUAGUAUUUCCUGAGACUCUGGAAAACCCUUAUCACCUCUCAUUCCUCUUAGGUCUUAUGGGUUCUUUGUCCUCCACCUACCCCUGCAGCAUUCAAGUAUUCCUGUUAUCAUAGUUUUUCCUCAACUCACUGUUCUUUCCUCAUUCUACAACCUUUCCCCUGCAGGAUGGGGGUGGCUGGGGUGGGGAGUGGAGCUCAUCUGCUGUAUCUCUAGCCCAGCUCUCCCCACACUCUCUUCUUCUUUAUAUCUAAUUACUUACUGGUUAAUUAUACCUGAAUGUCCCAUUGGGAUUUCAGACUCAACUUGUUCAGAAUCAAGUUCAUCACCUUCUUUCCCAAAUCCUAUAAACCUUCUGUCAUCGGAGGCAGCAAACCCCUCCCCUAAAUCACUUAAACCGGAUGCCUGGAAGUCACUCCAGAUCCUCCUUCUUUCUCCCUCCUCUCCACUGCCCUAGUUCAAGCCCUCAAAUUUAUUGCCUAGAUAAUUACAGUAGUCUCCUAACCUGUCUCUCGUCCACCCUUCCCCUCUUCAAAGACACGCUUACCUUGUCAUUAGACGAUACCUCUAAAAGGCAACUCUGAUAAUGCUAUUCUCCUUUUUAGAACUCUUCGAUGGUUUCCCGGUGCCCAAGAGAUAAAGUUCAUGUCCCUAAGCAUGUGAUGGAGAUUUAGGGCAGGCUGCCCCAAAAUAUACCACCUUGGGACAUCGAUUAUUUUGAAUUAAAGUUACUUAAGCACAGACAAUGUAAGAAGGAUAUUCUAACCCUACUUUGUUUCUCGGAAAGCAGAAAAUAAAUGUCCCAUGUGAAAGGUACCCCCCCCCCCCCACCAGGAGGUAAGGAGACAUCCUUAUGGCUGGAUAUAGGGAAUUCAGGGCUAUAGAACAAAUCCUCUUACCUCACCUUGUUGGGUCUUCACUAAUUUGCACCAAACCCAAACUUCUUUGUCUUGCCAAUGCUUCACAGAUUUAUUAUUUCUUUGUCUAAAAGGUCUUUGAGUCUCAUAUUUUUAUGAGCUCCUGCACAUAUGAGAUUAAAUUCGUUUUUCUCCUGCUAAUCUGUCCUAUGUCAAUUUAAUUAUUAGGUGAGCCAAAGAACCUAGAAGGAAGAAGGAAAAAUUUUCUUCCCCUGCACAUGGCACUUGAAGCCCUAAGUCAUGUGGCUCCUGCUUGCCUUCAGUGUCCUCUCCAGACCUUCUCUGCUUUUCCCCUUUAUGCCUGGCUUUCUCCCAUUUAACCAUCAGGACUCACUACAGGCUCCACUUUCUUGGGGGGAAGCAAGUCUUUUCUGACCCCAACAGGUACAGGUAAGUGCCUGUCUUUUGGGCUCCUAUAUCACCCUACGCGUAUCUUUAUUAUGACACUUACCCACGUUGUAUUACACGUUCUAUCAUAUGUCUGCUCCUGCCAUUCCUCCACUAAAACACUGUAUUUGAGUCAUCUUUGUAUCCCUAACACUUAGCACAGUGCCUGGCCUCUGAUAGGUAAUCAAGAACAUUUGUUGAACUGCAUCAAGAAAUCUAUAAGAUGGUACGCUGCUGACUGAUUUUGUCUAAAGAGAAGAAGAUCCCAUGUAUCAUAUAUAUAAAUGAUUAUAACACUA